rnacentral:sRNA from 1 species
ACUGCCGCAAAAUCGGCAGUCGGGUUUGACGACCUGAAUCCAAAAGAGGCACGAAGGGCGCCUCACUGAAAAGUAGCGCCUUUUUU